AGCCGCUCCACAAAGGUCUCCAGGACAAGCGUCCCCCCCCCGCGCAAAUCCUCCUGCUGCUUCUGCUUCUAGCUCGCGCUCCGAGGGAUCUAUAAUGGCGACUCAUAGUUAUCAACCACGUGGCCCGCAGAAGGAUCCUUGCCGGAUUUUAUCAGAUUUAUUUGAGUUUUUUACAAUAUUUACUCUUGUUUGUCUGUUUUUUCUUUUCUUUUUCGUAUUUUAGGCUAAGGAUUAAGCGUGUUUUACUUUUAUUUUUAUUUUUUUGUAUUCCAUGUCUCUCGCUCUCUCUACCUUUUAUUCUCAGUCUGGUCUUCUCUCGUCAAUCUUAAGAGAGAAUAUUUGUGAACUGGAGGAUGCACGCGCCCCAACAGAGGCAGAUUCAAUCUUAGGUAAUGGAAGUGGCCCUUCUGGAACAAAACCCAAAAUUUCUAACGUUUUACUUAUGUUUUAGUAACUAUUGCCGGGUUCCUCUCCCACCUCUUUUCUCCCUUUCUCUCUCUACCUCUCUGAACUUUACAGCAGUUUUAA
rnacentral:lncRNA from 1 species